CUACGGGAGGCACCAGUGGGGAAUAUUGCACAAUGGAGGGAACUCUGAUGCAGCAACGCCGCGUGGAGGAUGACGCAUUUCGGUGUGUAAACUCCUUUUAUAUAGGAAGAUAAUGACGGUACUAUAUGAAUAAGCACCGGCUAACUCCGUGCCAGCAGCCGCGGUAAUACGGAGGGUGCAAGCGUUACUCGGAAUCACUGGGCGUAAGGCGCAUGCAGGCGGUUAAAUAAGUUGGAAGUGAAAUCCUAUGGCUCAACCAUAGAACUGCUUCCAAAACUGUUUAACUAGAGUCUGGGAGGGGAAGAUGGAAUUAGUAGUGUAGGGGUAAAAUCCGUAGAGAUUACUAGGAAUACCAAAAGCGAAGGCGAUCUUCUGGAACAGUACUGACGCUGAGAUGCGAAAGCGUGGGGAGCAAACAGGAUUAGAUACCCCUGUAGUC
rnacentral:rRNA from 1 species